AACGAACGCUGGCGGCAGGCUUAACACAUGCCAGUCGAGCGCCCCGCAAGGGGAGCGGCAGACGGGUGAGUAACGCGUGGGAACGUACCUUUUGGUUCUGAACAACUCCGGGAAACUGGAGCUAAUACCGGAUAAGCCCUAACGGGGAAAGAUUUAUCGCCGAAAGAUCGGCCCGCGUCUGAUUAGCUAGUUGGUGAGGUAACGGCUCACCAAGGCGACGAUCAGUAGCUCGUCUGAGAAGAUGAUCAGCCACACUGGGACUGAGACACGGACCAGACUCCUACGGGAGGCAGCAGUGGGGAAUAUUGGCCAAUGGGCGCAAGCCUGAUACAGCCAUGCCGCGUGAGUGAUGAAGGCCUUAGGGUUGUAAAGCUCUUUUGUCCGGGAAGAUAAUGACUGUACCGGAAGAAUAAGCCCCGGCUAACUUCGUG
rnacentral:rRNA from 1 species